CCACUAAACUUCAGUCAAAUUUAAUAAACUUUUAUAGUGUGAACGUGAGUUUUAAAAUUUUAAGUCCGAGUUUAUACAUAUCAAAUGAUGUAUCCAUUUUGCAAGGGUGGGUUGAAUCCAUUUUAACCAAAUGGGUUGGUGCGGGUUGGGCUAAAAUUAAAGUUUGAUUGGUUUGGAUUGGAUCCCAAUAAAGAAUAAUUGGUGCGGGUUGGUUUGAUAGACUAAUUAGCAAAGAAAUGGAUUGAAGCGGAUUUGGAUUGGAUUACAAUCCAAUGGCAGGCUUAACAAUGACAUAUUAGCUGAAGGUUUUAUUGCUACAAUGGGGACGAACGCAGGACACAUGAUCACAUCAAUAUUCGACAACGCACACGCACAUGUUCUAGAUAAGUAUACAUUUGAUUUUUCCAAAUUAAACAAAACUUGUUCAGAAUCAAAUUAAUCAACGUCACACAAGAACCACACACAUGACAGUCAAGCACACAGGUCUAGCUAGAUCUAAUUCAAUAUUCGGCUGGAGUACACGCAAUGCAUACCGUACAUGUACGUAUAUACGCGUACAGUACGGUCGCUGCAUACAGCAUGGCCCAAGGAGGAGAACGCCCUUUUAACUUUUUUUUUCGAUCAUUUCCUCUUCCUCUACUACUACGGACGUGCGCGCAUGUAUUUCCGUAUUUAUACGCCGUAUUUACCAGGUAUAUUAUAUGUAUAUAUAU
rnacentral:lncRNA from 1 species